UACGGAGGGGGCAAGCGUUGUUCGGAAUCAUUGGGCGUAAAGGGCGCGUAGGCGGCUCUGUAUGUCUACCGUGAAAGCAUACAGCUCAACUGUAUUUUGUCGGUAGAAACUGCAGGACUUGAGGCUGGGAGGGGCUGGUGGAAUUCCCUGUGUAGCGGUGAAAUGCGUAGAGAUGGGGGAGAACACUCGUGGCGAAGGCGGCCAGCUAGACCAGUUCUGACACUGAGGCGCGACAGCGUGGGGAGCAAACAGG
rnacentral:rRNA from 1 species